GACGAACGCUGGCGGCGUGCCUAAUACAUGCAAGUCGAACGCAGUGGGGACGGGUGAGUAACACGUGGGUAACCUCCCAUCAGAGGGGAUAACACUUGGAAACAGGUGCUAAACCGAUACCGUUGGAUGGACCCGCGUUGCAUUAGCUGGUUGGGGAGGUAACGGCUCACCAAGGCCCCGAUGCAUAGCCAGCCUGAGAGGGUGAUCGGCCACACUGGGACGGAGAAACAGCCCAGACGCCAACGGGAGGCAGCAGUAGGGAAUCUUCGGCAAUGGACGAAAGACUGACCGAGCAACGCCGCGUGAGUGAAGAAGGUUUACGGAUCGUAAAGCUCUGUUGUUAGAGAAGCGGGAUCUAACCAGAAAGCCACGGCUAACUACGUGCCAGCAGCCGCGGUAAUAC
rnacentral:rRNA from 1 species